GGCGCAGGCCGAGUUAAGAGCUUUAAUCCUGUGAAGCCAUCUUGGUGAAGAGCUUAGAGUGCUGAGAGUUGAAAGCUUGCACGUGGGAAACGUGCGGCGCGACCGCCACAUGUACUGAGGUUGAAUCGUGACGGCCACAGGCUCCGAGUUUUGGCGUGAGGAGACCGCUGAUCGGCUACGGGCGCCGAACUUGCUGGCCUCAGGCAUGUGCCUGAGCGGCGGCGGAAAAACCACCUCAGUUGGGGCGGAGGGUUAGUUUUAAGAGCAAGGGGCCUUUACUAAAAUGGCGAAGGCCUUCCGUCGGCGUUGUUUUAAAAUGGGAAGCCUCGACCCAGUAUUGAGACAGCUGUUCGAAGGCGGCGUUGUGUGCAAUUCGGAUUAAUGAAGGGGAAGGGUUUUGUGUGGAAAAACACCUUGGAGUGUGACAUUUCUGCGAGAAUGCUUAAAUACCGAUUUCCCGCAGGAACAAUGGCGCUGUCUUCAGUGGCACAGCGGAGCAGUUCUGUGAAGAUGCAAAGUGAGGGUCGCUGUCUGCCCAUUGAUAGAGGCCAGAUUGUCUUGGAAGUUCCAAAGUUGCAACGAUUUCUGGCUAGUGCCACGAGGUUUACUUGACUGUUGUGUGAAAAGCUGAUAAGAAAACCAUCCAGAAAACAGCUCUUCGUUUUACAAACAUGAAAAUAAAACAUGUAAUUUUGGA
rnacentral:lncRNA from 1 species